rnacentral:rRNA from 1 species
AUUGAACGCUGGCGGCAGGAUUAACACAUGCAAGUCGAGCGAGCGGCGGACGGGUGAGUAAUGUCUGGGAAACUGCCUGAUGGAGGGGGAUAAAUACUGGAAAAGGUAGCUAAUACCGCAUACCAUCAGAUGUGCCCAGAUGGGAUUAGCUAGUAGGUGGGGAAAUGGCUCACCUAGGCGACUAUCCCUAGCUGGUCUGAGAGGAUGACCAGCCACGUUGGAACUGAGACACGGUCCAGACUCCUACGGUAGGCAGCAGGGGGGAAGAUUGCACAAUGGGCGCAAGCCUGAUGCGGCCAUGCCGCGUGUGUGAAGAAGGCCUUCGGGUUGUAAAGCACUUUCAGCGAGGAGGCGUUACUCGCAGAAGAAGCACCGGCUAACUCCGUGCCAGCCGCCGCGGUAAUUC